UGAGGAAGUGCGCCUGCGUGUGAGCCAGAGGCGGAAAGGGUUUAGCAUGUACAGCUUUUUAACCUUCCUCUGUCCCGGCGAUCUGCGCAUGCUCAAGAUGCUGUGCCCACCUCCAACUUUCCUGGCGUCUCUUGUCAAUCCCAUGAAGAUCUGGGGCUGAGGACCUGGCAGUGUAAUUACCAUAGAAGAGAGAGAAGAAGCAACGUGGAGACAACUUGGGAUAAAAGGAAGAGGGAAGAGGAGAGCAGAAUAAAAAAAGCAAAGGUUCUCCUUUCGUGCUUCGGAGGACUGGAUUUUGAUUUGGAUGCAGAGAUGUUUAGCAACUUUUUUAAGAUAAGUAUUUCAUGUAGCUGUUGGACUGUAAGCUCCCUGAGGAUAGAGACUGAUUUUCACCUUCCUGCUUCUAUCUUCAGUGCCUAACAGUGUAUAGUACCUAGUAGGAGAUGAAUACACAUUUCCUAGAGGAAUAAAAAAAGGAAAUGGCCAAAUGUUAAAUCCUGAUCUGCCCAACUCCCAAAUCUAAUUCUUUCUACUUCUGAACUCAUAAUUUAUUAAAAACAAUUGGGAUUUGGCCCAUGGUUUUUAAUCCCUUAUUUACUGAAUAACUGGAAGUGUUAUGAGCUCUGUUCCAAUGUCUGUUUGAAGUUCUAGGUACAUAAUUAGUUGCCGAGUUCCCGUCUCUUGGCCAAAUCUAUAAUUAAGCAAGUUUCACAAGACAUAGUUAGACACAGUCCCUGGUUCCCUAAAAUGCGUUAACAUUCACCCAGAGGACCAGACUUGGAGAAAAACAUAGGACUGGAAAAUAUUUACUAUACUCCAGUAUCAUUGCUCUCCCUUGUCACCAUAAGCAAUUACAGAACCGGAAAGUGCUUUUUUUUUUUUUUUUAAUCUAAACAUAAAUCUUAACAGACAUACAUUCUCAUAGAGUUUCUUCACAGUGCAUGUUAGAAAUGAAACAAUUUUUGAUUCGUUAGCACACAAUGAUGUUAACAUAUUACAGUUUCUGUCCAGGAGUUGGAUAAAGGCAAGAAGUGAAAGACACAUCAAGCACGCUGUUCUAGAAGGACACGUGCAGGUGUGCCUGGGACCUUGGCCUGAGUAAUGCUUUAAGGCUCAACAAGGCAGGCCCAGUGAUCUGUGAAUCAUCUUUAUCUUCUGAUAAAGAAUGGGCGAAUAAAGUCAUUUCUCCUUGCCUUUCUCACUCACUCAUGUGUUGACCAAAGUUACACUGGCCAUGGCUCCAGUCAUCCCAGGGCACUUCAUAGGGUCUUUUCAGUUGUGUGCUCAUCUAUGUCGUCAUUCCUCCACUUCUUCCAAGUAUUUACUAAGAGCUCUCAUAGCUCUUAGGGGGCUUGGGAGGAACACAGCACAAGCUUCUAGGCUCUGUGGGCGUUAUUGACAAUACACCUGGAACUCAGGUGUGACUGUGAGGCCCCUGGCAGCUGAGCUGGCGACUUAACUAUUAUCACCUUCCUUCCUCACCAGCUCCUGAGAUCCCGAAAAGUCCUUCUUGUUACUGUGAGCUGAGGAGUGUGAUCCUCCCUUAUGUCCCUCUGACAUCAACUGUGACAUCAACACAAAGGUGGCUCUCUUGCCUUUACUGAAAUUGCACCCAUGUUACCAUGACUGCAUGAUUAGAGAGGUGUCAACCCUUUACACAUUACUUAGUUGAAGAAGGUGCAGGAGCUGUUCAGCUAUGUGGAUGAUUCUUCUUGCUUCCUGCAGGAACAGGUUUCUCUAUGGUCAUUAAACAAAAGGGAAUGACCAGCCACAGGAACUUCACCAAGUACUGGAUACCACACCUGCUUUUCCAAGUCAGAUACAACCAUCUCCAUUCUAAACAGUCUACAUCUUUGAAGGACUGUGGCAGACACAGGCUGGGGAUUGGUCACUGGGGUGACUCACAAACAGCAGCUUGCAGCGCCCAGAGGAGGCUCCCAUUUACAACUGAAGUCUGCCCUCUACUGGUCACAAGCAGCCCAAACCUACACCACAAAGCCACUGAAGAGUUUGCUUCUAAAAUCGUUCUUCUCCAGGAACAUUUUGGAAAUUGCUACAAUUUAUUUAGCUAGAGAAAUACAAAGAAAUGACAUCUUCUGAAAA